AUGCUCUUAAGACUACAAGAUAAGUAAAGCUAUAAAAUGACUGUGGCCUGCCACAGAAGAUGAAGAUGAGGAAGAAGAGGAAUGCUCUUGAGGAUAAAUGCAGAGUGGCAGGCUACCUUCGGUCCUUCAUUGAAAAUGCAUCUUGUGCACAACGAAAAGCCCUCAUCAAGUUUUGGACAGGAUGGGAAGUCUUGCCGAGAGAAAUGACUGUGGAAGUGGUCAACAGCAGUCUUCCACCUGUUUUGAAGUACUACGUCUUCCUGCACACUACUGUACCUAUGAGUCAUUUGUAAUGGACAUUCAGGUGUGUCUCAACUCUACUGACUCAGAUUUUGGUCUGGUUUAGGAUUGAUUCUAUAACCACAUGGUAAGAUUAGACCAUUUCUUCUUUCUUGCAUCACAUUACUGUAUUCAGUGUUCAAAGAAAUGGACAAUCUAGUGAGUUCUAGUUCCUUUUAAUACACUUGACAGUGAAAAAUGCACAGUACAGGUGAGCAUUUAUGGCUUUUUUUAAUAUAAACUGACAGAGUUCAGAUAUCAAAAUCAGUUGUUCACUGUAUAUUAUAAAUUACACAGUAUGUUUUGUUUAUACUCGCUACUGGUACAAAACAAUUUUGUAGAAAAAAUUAUUUGAAUUAAGAUGUUACACUACUGUACUGUCUGCAUUGUAUUAAAUCUGCUCAGAGUUGACAUGUACUGUACAUCCAACCAAGAAAUGAAUAUCAUUAAAGUGACAGCUGUAUAAAACAAAUCCUGCUUUAUAGCCACUCACUGUUUUUUUUUUUUUUAAUGAAAUUGGUUAUGCUGUUUUGAGUCAGUAUUAGCUACAAAGCCAUAGAUGUAGAAAUUAAAAAAAAAAAUCCUCCUGACAUGGAAACUGAUUAAAUGUGAUAGUGUCUUUCUACAAGUGAUUUUGAAGUAUGGUUAUGCAAGAAAUAUGGUGUGAACAUAUUGCACCUGUUUACUUUGAAGAGUUAAGGUGUGUUAUCAAACAUAAGUUUGAGUGACUGAACAGUUUCACAGUAGGCAUCCAAAGCUUGACUGAGUGAAACGUUGUUGUUUGGUAGCACAGCAGGGUCUCGUUCAUUCAGUGCACGUGGGAGCUGAAUCUCAGGAAUGGUGAUCUCAUUUGAUGGGCGGUGAUUAUGUGGUCCUGUCCAGUCCACACCAUAAUCCUCAUCAACCUGAAAGAGCAUGCACAUGUGUUAAAUCUAAACUGAAGAAGUGUUUCCUGCAGCUGUUCCUAGAUGGACUUAUUGAGUCUGCCAGGGCCUAUGUGAGUUUCUUAGGCAUUGGCUACACUUGUGUCCAGUUUUACUAAACAGGUGGCGUGUGAGAGGCCCAAGGAGAAAGGAGAGGUUCCUGACGCGAAGGCGCUGUGGCUGAAGGUCAUUAAACGCAAGUGGAAGGAGCCCCGGUGGACCGGCCCAUACGAGGUGACGGCCCGGUGCACAAGGGAGAGGAUUUAUUCUGCCCCUUACUACCAACUAAUUAUUCAUUCACCCAUUCUAGGUCAGGAUUGGUUCUCUUCAGGUAUAACAAAUUUAACUUUGUUUAAAGUAUUGCCAUCUAUACCUGACAGAUGGGAUAAAAGGAGAGAAUGGCUUGGGAGACAUUUCCACUUACAGGAAAAAAAAUUUUGGUACACCAACUUGCACAGUAGAAAUAAACUCAUCUCCACUACAGAUAGCAGAGUUUUACAUACAAGAACAAAUAUGGAUCAAAUAGUCAUGUACCUGUGACAAAUCUUGUCCCUCCUUUCUGUGCAGCAACCAGAGGUGCAGGGGUGAAUGGUUGUUUGCUUUUCUGAGUCCGUGCUGAUUCCAUGCUUCCUGGAAUGACUGAAGAUGAUGUUGAAUGUGAUGCAAAAAGCAUCUGUGCAGAGCAAACAAGUGAAUUUUUUCACCAGGGUUGAGCAGUCCUUGAAUCUCCAGCUGGGUGAAGAUGUUUUCAUAUACAUCCCUCCACAGGCGCUCAAUGCUGAUUUCCAUCUAUAUGCCAAAGGUGAUUUGCUGCUGGUACACUGUACUGAAAACGCCUUGCAGUCUUAAUAGAUAACCGUUGCAUCUUGACCCCUUCUGGAUUGACUCGUCUCAUUGAAUCCAUCAGUCGAAAUCCUGAUUAACAAACAGAUCAUGUCUUAGGACUAACAACUACAAAAAGACUGUAUUGUAAACACUAAUGCAUAUGGGACAGAUCAUCAUUGUGUCAGGUAAGUAUCCAGGUGCUGUACAGAUUUAGUGAGGAGAGAGAAUUGUUUACAAACAGGAACAUAACUGCAUAACAGUGAUGAGAACAUGCUAGUCAUUUUUGAUGGAAACAUUAAAAUAUCAGAUCAAGGCCACACUGACAUGCUUUCCAAGCUGGAAACUGGUGUUUGGAUAUUUUAACAAUAUCAGCUUACUUUGAAUGUAUAUGCCUCUGGAUCGUAGAUGUCCCAUCAUCAUUCUGCAGUCGGCAUUUGGGUGAUGACGCUGAAUGUCCAGCACUUUUGAAUCCAAAUCCACAUCUCCAAUAGAAGAAUUCCUAUCAGAUUUUCUGCACAUAAAACAUUUUUUUCAUAUAACAGCAAAUCUCAACAAAGUUUUCCAAUUAAUACUGAAAGAACCAAGGAUGUAAAUGUAUUCUUGUUUUAGCUUUACUGAAGACACCAGAGAAAGUAUGAUAUUUAAAACGCUGCUGAAAUAGACAAACCCAUUUCAAUAAACUCGCUAUUUAACAUCAACUUUGUUAUGCGUUAUCAGAGAACAAUCAACUGCAAACAGCAAUGAAACAUUCAACUAUGUACUAUUUAAAGCACUAAUGACCCUGUUGUCUAACAAGAUGUGGUAAGUAAGUAGACUGUGGAAAGCUGCUGGGUCUACUCUCCGUAUAAAAGGUUCCUACAGGUUCCACUGCCCCCAGUCUCUGAGUUAACACACUCUAACAGCUAACACUACGCCGGCUAAACGUGUCUCAACGCCGAGAUGGCGCCGAUAGCUUUAGCCGUAGCUGCCCCACUUGGUUUAGACAGUAAAAAAAAAAAAACUAAGCGAUAAUAUUUCAUUGUCAAACGUCAUAAUCAAGGUCAACAUCUAAACAAUGCUGUGUACAGAAUCACACAGGUGUUCAAUUAGCAUAAACUUACCUUCCGCCGUCAUUUUCCUCCUAAUUGUGCUCGAAGACACAGAAAACAUAUCGGCAAUUACCCCGAUGGUUAUCCCGGACAGCACUAAAGUCCUGAGUGCUGCAGCCGAGAUUUCAAGACGUGGACGACCAAUAUUUGAAGACUGUUCUUCCUCGGCGUAUUCCAAACGAACACGGUGCUGAAUUGAUCUUAAACCUUCGACAAUGUUGUCAUCGAUGCAAACAUCUUCAAGAGCAAUUAUCAUCCCAAGCAUUUCAGAAACGUCAUCUAAACGACUCAAAACAGUAUCUACUGGUAAAUGAUCCCUCUCUAUCUGAUUUGCUGAAAUGAGCAGAACUGACUGAAGUUCACACCAAUCCGCCAUCCUCCGUGACUUUUGACCUAGCACGCUGUUGCUAGCUGUAGCAGCCGUCCGCCGAGCAGGUAUCCAGGAAAACUAGUUGAUGGUAAACGAUAAGCCAAUAGGCGCAAAGGUCCAACCCACUUACAUUGAUUGACAGACAAAGUCAUUCUGCUGAAAAGUCGCAUUAUGACAUAAAUAGACGAUCGGGAAAAACGGGAUUUUGAAAUAAAGACUGACUUUGAAAAAAGGACAUUUUGGAAUAAAAACGGCUGGAAAUAAAUAAAAUGCCUCAGGAAUAAUCUCUGUUAUUGUGAAAAAUAAUGACCAUGAAAUAAUAUUUCACAAUAAUAAGUAAAUUUAUAUAGCAGA
ensembl:lncRNA